rnacentral:tRNA from 1 species
GGGCCUGUAGCUCAGCUGGGAGAGCGCUAGAAUCGCACUCUAGAGGUCAACGGUUCGAUCCCGUUCAGGUCCA